CUCGAAAGCCUGUCCCAGUUCGGACUGGAGUCUGCAACCCGACUCCACGAAGUUGGAUUCGCUAGUAAUCGCGCAUCAGCCAUGGCGCGGUGAAUACGUUCCCGGGCCUUGUACACACCGCCCGUCAAGCCAUGGGAGCCGGGGGCGCCUGAAGUCCGGGACCGCGAGGACCGGCCUAGGGCGAAACUGGUAACUGGGGCUAAGUCGUAACAAGGUAGC
rnacentral:rRNA from 1 species